rnacentral:rRNA from 1 species
CUACGGGACGCAGCAGCCGCGAAAACUUUACAAUGCACGUAAGUGUGAUAAGGGAAUCCCAAGUGCUUACCUUCUGGGUAGGCUUUUGUUAAGUGUAAAUAUCUUAACGAAUAAGUGGUGGGUAAGACCGGUGCCAGCCGCCGCGGUAACACCGGCGCCACGAGUGGCGAUCACUAUUAUUGGGUCUAAAGCGUCCGUAGCUGAUUUAUUAAAUCUUUUGUGAAAUUGUUAAGCUUAACUUCACAUCGUGCAAAAGACACUAGUAGGUUUGAGACCGGGAGGAGAUGAAAGAAUUCUUUGGGAAGUGGUAAAAUAUUAUAAUCCAAGGAAGACUACCAGUGGUGAAGACGUUCAUCUAGAACGGGUCUGACGGUGAGGGACGAAGGCCAGGGGAGCAAAUGGGAUUAGAUACCCUCGUAGUC